CAGUCUGAGGUGCUUCAGGCUCAGAGCAGCUGUGCAAGAUCAUCUGUUCUCCAUGUGACCAGGAAGACUGCACCGUGUCCAUCAGGCCUGGUUAUGGAUGCAGGAAGGGGAAGGCGAGCAGCGACCAGGGGCAGGACUCAAGAGGACCAGUGCUGUUCUGUAAACUCCAAGAAGUCAGGAACCAGGUUGCUGGCAUACAGAUUCUGUUCUCUUCUGAUUUGCUGAGAAGUGACAUUGGUUUCUCUCAAGAAGAUUCUGUUGCCUCAGAGUCACCACAGGCUCCAUGCUGGGGCCGAACUCAUGACCCUGAGAUCAGGACUUGAGCUGAGAUCAAGAAUCAGACGCUUAACCGACCGAGCCACCCAGGUA